UCAGAUGUUGUGGUGGUGGGCACCCGACCCCCCCCCCCCCUGAGGUGGAGGGUCAAGCCCGUGCACUGAGGCAGAGGUUCAUCCAGGGGAGCGAGCUGUAGACCUCUCCCUCCCCUCCCAGGGGGCGAGGGCCACGUCGUGGGGGGCUGAGGGCCGCGUCCCCGCCCACUAGCUGCUCCCCUUCCGAGGCGUCUCCGCCCACACGGCGUAUCUCUGUCCACUAAGGGGAACAUCGCAGCACUGGCAGAGCUUCAGAAGCUCCGGCACAAUACCGCCUCGUACACAAUGGGGUUGUUCUCCUGCCAGGUUCCCUCACAGCGGAACACUUGGUCUUCAAGGUCCUCUUCAUCCUCCGCAGAAGAUGAAGAGGACCUGUGGGUGUGAUGGGACUCUCUUUGACUCCGCAGUCCUCAGAGUGACACAAUGAUGCUCAGUGAUUAGGGUUAUAGAGGUUUAGAGGAGAGGAGGUCUAGAGGUUUAGAGGAGAGGAGGCCAGGAGGUUUAGAGGAGAGGAGGUCUAGAGGUUUAGAGGAGAGGAGGUCUAGAGGUCUAGAGGAGGACAGGAGGAAGUAAGGACGGUGUCCAGGGGCGCCUCCAAGGGGCAACCACCAUAGAUUGACCGGCCAGUCCAAUGGCCCCCCUCACCCUGCCGGACUCCUCCUUAUGCAUCCCAUAAACAGCACUGCUAUCGUUAAGUAGAUAGGCAGAGAGGGCAUUGUUCUUUAUUGUAUUAUGCUGUAAACUAUGAAAUGUUUCUGUGUUAUUGAAUGUCC
ensembl:lncRNA